UGGGGAAUCUUCCGCAAUGGGCGAAAGCCUGACGGAGCAACGCCGCGUGAGUGAAGACGGCCUUCGGGUUGUAAAACUCUGUGAUUCGGGACGAAAGAUAAGCAGACGAAUAAUCUGCAUAAGUGACGGUACCGAAAAAGCAAGCCACGGCUAACUACGUGCCAGCAGCCGCAGUAAUACGUAGGUGGCAAGCGUUGUCCGGACUUUUUGGGCGUAAAGCGCGCGCAGGCGGCUACUUAAGUCCAUCUUAAAGGUGCGGGGCUUAACCCCGUGAUGAGAUGGAAACUGAGAAGCUGGAGUGUCGGAGAGGAAAGUGGAAUUCCUGGUGUAGCGGUGGAAUGCGUAGAGAUUAGGAAGAACACCGGUGGCGAAGGCGACUUUCUGGACGACAACUGACGCUUAGACGCGAAAGCGUGGGGAGCAAACAGG
rnacentral:rRNA from 1 species